ensembl:lncRNA
GCCUACUGUGUGCAGCCCUGCCCCCCCAGGAGAGGCAGGCGAGGCCCCAGGCCUGCUGACUCCAGCUGACUUCUCCUCUGGCACUUCCUUCCCAACUCCUGGCUGUGGAUCCUGACCGCCCCCCCCCCCAAUUGGACAAACAUCUUGCGGCCGUUUCCUCCUCGCCUGCCCGGAGCCCGGCCUGGCCUGAACAAACACUCGGGACCUGCGCUUCCGGCCUCAGCUCUGGGAAAAGCCCGGCCAGGGGCCGCCGAGAGAUUAGGAGCCAGGCCCGGGUGCGGCAGGAGUGGACAGACAGCUCUUGACAACGCAAAUAGGCGAAGAUGGCUGAAUGUGAGGAGCGAGCUCCCCGUCGCUGGACGUAUGAGCAGAGCCAGCCGGAUGCGCAGGAGGCAACCCCUGCCAACACUUACUCUUCCUUACCUGCUCCCAGUGCCCUGGACUGGAGGCAGGAUCUGGGAGUGGAAACAAUGGAAUUAAUGUGUAGGCGGUGCGUCCGGGCCCACGUGUACGUGCCCACGCGUGCGUGCGCAGCGUUUGCUGACUCCGCCCCGGGUACCCGGGAGAAACUGAGGCACCGAGCAGGGUGGUGGCUUGUUGGGAGCUUCAGAGCUGGCGUUCCACCAGUGCUACCUUUCCGAGGGGACCUGCGGACCAGCCAGGUGCAGCUGCGCUUUUGGCCUCUGAUUCUCAACAAAUACCCACCAUAACCCACAUCCUCCCAACCCGUGGCUUUUGUCUUCUGUUGCCUUUAACACAAAUAAUACACAAGUUUCUCUGAUGAAACUUAGAAAAUUGAGACUCGAAAGAAAAACUUCAAAUUCUCCCCUCCCACCCAGCAAAGCACUCCGGUACAGAGGGCGCUAGUGGUGAAGUUCUUGCCUGCCAGUGCAGGAAAUGUAAAAGACCAGGGUUCGAUCCCUCGGUCGGGAAGAUCCCUCUGGAGAAGGGCAUGGCACUCCAGUAUUUUUGCCUGGACAAUACCAUGGACAGAGGAGCCUGGCGGGCUACAGUCCAUGGGAUCGCAAAGAGUUGGACACGACUGAAGCGACUUGGCACGCAUGCAGGCACCCAGCAAAACAUCAAGGGUUCACCCUGCCUGAUUCUGCCUCUCCCCAACCCUGUAACCCGCGGUGCACACCCUCGGUGGCGGGCCCUCAGGGUGCCCAUCGUUAGCUGCAUGGCACGUCCACGCCCAGGUCCUGGAGUGCAGCUCGGGAUGUUACAGCCCUCCAUUCCUGUAGGGGCAGGGGAAUGCCCACCCCUGCCGUGGCAUGGAGGGGGAAGUGAGAACGGAGGGGCAGGGAUGGGAUGACAUGGGUCUAGUUGAGGAAGUGAAAGUUCUCCUGCGGACCUCCCCCCCCCCCACCGAUUGACGGCAGCCCGCUGGCAUCAUCCUUUGUCCCGGAUGGAGGUUCACAGGGUGGUGCCCCCCCACCCGACCAAAACCAUAUUGGGGCCCCAGGCUGUGAUACCAGGAGGAAGGGGGUUUCCCUGGUCGCUUGCCCGGGGAGUCUCAGCUCAGGGGGGACCGUCCCAGCCUCAGACCCCAGACUUUGACUCUGGCCUGACCAGCCAAGCCUCUUGAGUGAAGACAGGGAAGUUGGGGCCUGGGGCGGUGGUGGGGUUACUUGUUUGGUUUUACUAUUUUCAGAUAGAGACUGAAUGGGGUCUAGAGCCCAGCCAGGGGGCCUCAGACACCUGCCCAGAUGUUCGUGGUGGUAGCCUCCUGUCCUCUGUGAGCGCUCUACCUGGUCACACUGGGCGGGGUUCGAGUCCCCUGCGGUCCUCUCUGUGGACUUGGCCUUGGCAAGCCCCUGCCUGUCUUUGGCCUUCUGUGAAACGGGGCGAGGGAUUGCCCGUGCUCCUGAGGGGAGCAGAUGAGA